rnacentral:SRP_RNA from 1 species
GCCAGGUGUGGUGGCGCACACCUGUAAUCCCAGCUACUCAGGAGGCUGAGGCAGGGGAAUCGCUUGAACCCAGGAGGUGGAGGUUGCAGUGAGCAGAGAUGGCGCCACUGCACUCCAGCCUGGGUGACAGAGCAAGACUCUGCCUCAA